GAAAAUGAGUGAUUUUUUUUUUUGAGUGCUUGCAUCAGGGAAAGCAAUGAAACAGAGUCGAUAUAAAUAAUGUUGUUCCAUUUUCUAAUCCAUUGUUGAGGCCUUAUUGGGCAGUAAUAUUUGGUGUCAUUCUGGCAUGGAACUAUUUUUAUCUCUUCCAUAAUCUGUGUUAUCUUAACUGUACUUGAGCUUUUUGCUAAUCUAUUUUUCUUCUUUGACACCAACUUCCUUAAUUUAGUAAUUAUUGCCAAGUGGAUAAGAUUAUGUUUGUUUAUGCUCCUAAUAUUCGCACACUUUGAUAAGCUUAAUGGUGACAGAAUGAUUUGUUGAAUGGAUCACAAUUGCAUGAUAAACAGGUUAUAACACGUUCCGGAAAAGAGAUGAAAAAGUAAAACAGAGAAAGUAUGCAGUUCCUAGUUGUAAGGUUUGGCUGCAAUAAGAAACUAAAGCCUAAAUAUAGUUAAAAAUCGAAAAAAGAAUUAAUGCUACUGCCUAGGUAUUUUAUCAGAAAUUCCUACUUCUUGGGUUGUGGAAAUGGUAAAAAUUGAAAUCAUGGGGAUAGAUUUAAUUGAUGACCAUAUUCUAACCAACUUCUCUUUUGAGUCGAACUCCAUAUUCUUUAUGUAUGUAGUUUCCAAGUUGAACAGAAAAGCCUUUCCUUCUCUCUUUCUAUCUUCUUAUCCCCUCGGAUUGGCCAUAGUUCUUUUAAUCUUUUGAAUUGUAUCAGUUUGUUAGUGGAAUGAAUGUAUAAUGGUGGUGGAGAGAUAAAAGGAGAAAGCAUCAGUGGAGUUAUUCGAAGCUGCUAAGAGAGCUGCCGAGUUGGAGGAAGGAGGAGGCGCGAAGAAAAUAGGUGGCUUGAUGCAUUGUCUCAGCUUAAGGCCUUUCCUGUCACCAUUCAACUUCUUGUUUCCAUUCAGGUUGGUAAGCCUCUCUGAUUUCUUACAAAGCAUUCUAGGAAGAACAUCAAUUAUCUUGCUUUUGAUGUGUUUGCACUGCAUGCGGAGAAAAAUGCCAAUGGAGCAAAGAAAUAAUGUCAGAAGUGCCUUGUGUUUGGAAGCUCUGUUCAUUAAUCUGUUUAUACUCGGAUUUGAGCUUCCAUCUCCUUAGGUUAUAUUAUUGAACUGCCAGUUUAGGAUGUGUAUAUGUAUUCAGGAGUGUUUAGAGUAUCAUAGUUAUGAAUUUGAAAUAAUGGAUACUGUAAUUAAGCAAUUGCUAUCACUUGAUUGUCCUUUUGUGCAAAAAUGAUUGAUUCAUUAGAUUCUAAAUUCCACAAGUGACAUUGAGCAAGAA